GAUGAACGCUGGCGGCGUGCUUAACACAUGCAAGUCGAACGAUGAACCGGGUGCUUGCACUCGGGGAUUAGUGGCGAACGGGUGAGUAACACGUGAGCAACCUGCCCCUGACUCUGGGAUAAGCGCUGGAAACGGCGUCUAAUACUGGAUAUGUCCCGUCACCGCAUGGUGUGCGGGUGGAAAGAUUUUUCGGUUGGGGAGGGGCUCGCGGCCUAUCAGCUUGUUGGUGAGGUAAUGGCUCACCAAGGCGUCGACGGGUAGCCGGCCUGAGGGGGUGACCGGCCACACUGGGACUGAGACACGGCCCAGGCUCCUACGGGAGGCAGCAGUGGGGAAUAUUGCACAAUGGGCGCAAGCCUGAUGCAGCAACGCCGCGUGAGGGAUGACGGCCUUCGGGUUGUAAACCUCUUUUUGUAGGGAAGAAGCGAAAGUGACGGUACCUGCAGAAAAAGCACCGGCUAACUACGUGCCAGCCGCCGCCGUAA
rnacentral:rRNA from 1 species